rnacentral:lncRNA from 1 species
GUGCGAAUAAAUGCACAAGAAUUGUCAUUAUGAAAAGUAAAUUUAAUAUUAAUGUUAAACAGGAAACCCUUCAAAUUACUACUGGCUAUUUAUAAUAUUGUUAAAGUAAACAUAUAACAAAUUAAUUUUGAUUCAAUGAUGACUUAAAUGCCCUCUGGUAUUUUACAACAAGGAAAUCCUCCUUAAGUAAGCAGUUGUGGUGAAAUCCGAAUUCAAAUAAGUUAAACAUGUUAAAUGAUAGCUUGGUAAAGGAUAUAUGAUGAUUUACGUCAGAAGUAUUUUUCGUUUCUUCCCCAAAAGUACUUAUAUCCCAGAAGCCUACACUCAUAUGUUUGCCUGCAAUUUAAUUGAAACCGUCAUUUUCUGUGAAUUUACGGUUUGUCAAAUGUUUAAACAAAUCGAAAAAAAGAAUUUCUAUGUACCCCAAACAUAAUAUAUGUUCUUAAAUUGUUAACAUUCUAUUUUUGUGAAUUAUACUCAAACCACAUCUUCUAAUUCAUAAG